GCCAUGCUGUGGUGAUUGCUUUCCAUGAUGACCCGAGGCCCCCCACCACCACCUGAUCCAUGACUCCCCAUGUUUCCUCUUGUAAGAACACCAGGACUAUUGGUGUAUUAAGCCAAGGUUUCCGUGAAAGCCUCCCAGAAGAACUUCACCAUCUCAGGAGAAAGCAUAAUUUGUGUCAGGUGCAGGUAGAAAAGCGGUGAACUAGGGAUAAUCAAAGCGCUCAGCAUGCAAGUUUCUUAUGGGGACUGAAUGAGGUAACAUGAAUACAGUGAACAGAAGAGCCCCUGACACAUAGUUCCUGCUUGCAUAUGUACAUACAGAUUAUACUACAUGAAGUCAUGCUGUGCAUUCUUUGUGGGUGAGCAAAAAUAUAGAUAUAACAAAUACAAAAAUAUAGUUGUGAGAUGUUAACACCAUCACUAGGACAGCACUUGCUUCUUGGAGACAGAAGAAAGGCAUGGAAUUAGACCAAAACUAAGACAUUUUCAGUAGUCUUUUAUUCUAUGUAAUUUUGAAGAAUGUAUGUUGAAAUGUUGGCAUUCAUUAUUCAGGGGCAAAGAAAUCA